AUAACGACUCUCGGCAACGGAUAUCUCGGCUCUCGCAUCGAUGAAGAACGUAGCGAAAUGCGAUACUUGGUGUGAAUUGCAAAAUCCCGUGAACCAUCGAGUCUUUGAACGCAAGUUGCGCCCGAAGCCAUCAGGCCGAGGGCACGCCUGCCUGGGCGUCACGCAUCGCGUUCCCC
rnacentral:rRNA from 1 species